AAGUCGUAACAAGGUUUCCGUAGGUGAACCUGCGGAAGGAUCAUUACAGAGAUAAGAGCUUCGGCUCUGACCUCCAACCCUUUGUUUACUGUUACCACUGUUGCCUCGGCGGGUCUCCCGCCGCUAGGACACAACCAUAAACUCUUUGUAAACCCAGUCUUCUGAGAGUAAAUUUAAAUACUUCAAAACUUUCAACAACGGAUCUCUUGGUUCUG
rnacentral:misc_RNA from 1 species